AAGUACGCAGAUUAUGGAUACACUCCAGGAAUAUAUAUUUAGCAUCUUGAAUUUUCGAGCAUGUAUCUCCCCAUUUUCACCCGAAGAUAUCAAAUGGAUUUGUAUAGAUUAUGUAUUACAAAGUAAAUAUGGUCAAGAUAUCGUUGUAUAUACAAUAUUUCAUAGCGUGGCUAGAAGACUUGGUCUACGUUGCGAUCUAAUAGAUGUAAGUCAUGUUUACACUGAAAUCUGUAUAUUUUGGAAAUCAAAAUUAAAAUGAACGAUGUUUUUACAUAGAAGACGAAAAUUUCCCGAAUUGUCUUCAUAAUUAUCUACCAGGUUACAAGUCUUGUGAAACAAAUCAUGACGUCAUCAAAAUAAGAACUGAAAAGAUGUUGGUCAUGAUAAAAGAUUGUAUUAAAACGUUUAUAUGGACACAUAAUAAUCUAUUUGGGAUUAGUGAAUUGUAAUGUGUAAAAAACAUACGCGCACUAACAUAAUCGCUAGUACUAUAUAUAACAUAUACCAUUGUAAAAAUAAAGG